ACAAACCCCUAACCCUCGGCUAUCCAUUAACAAAUCCAAUUGUUUAUUGAUAACAAAUUAUUUUUGUCAAAACGUUUGAAUCGGGUGAUAAUUUUGUCUACAUUUGCCAUCGUUAGGAAAUGUCAAUGGCUUUCAAACUGAUUUGCCCAGUAAAGUGUCAAGACAAGCUUGGGAAGAUGCAUUUAUGAAUGCCUACCUUAAUCCUGUUCUAUCGGUUGUUUCUCAGUUAUUGAAAGAUGCUUUAGGUAGAAUGGUCAGCGAUGAAAGACUGGGAAAUAAUCGGCUAAUGAAAUUGAUCAACGAAUUAGAUGAACC